rnacentral:lncRNA from 1 species
AGAAAGAAAAAUCAAAAUCUAAUAAUACAGCAGCCCGAGAACCUAAUGGUUUUCCCUCCGAUGCCUCAGCCAAUUCCUCCCUCCUCCUCGAAUUCCAGGAUGAGAACAGCAACCAGAGUUCUGUGUCAGAUGUCUAUCAACUCAAGGUGGACAGCAGCACCAACUCAAGCCCCAGCCCCCAGCAGAGCGAGUCCCUGAGCCCAGCACACACCUCAGACUUCCGCACGGAUGACUCCCAACCCCCCACCCUGGGCCAGGAGAUCCUUGAGGAGCCUUCGCUGCCUGCGUCUGAGGUUGCAGAUGAACCCCCCACGCUCACAAAGGAAGAACCGGUGCCAAUAGAGACCCAGACCACUGAGGAAGAGGAGGACUCUGGUGCCCCACCCUUGAAGCGAUUUUGUGUGGACCAACCUGUAGUGCCGCAGACCACGUCAGAAAGCUAGCACCUUCCGGCCCCUCGCCUCCUGGCCCCUGCCUCUAUUUAUUGCAUUCUGGUCUGGCCGAGCUCUGAUGCUGGGGUCCGGGCAAGCACUAGGGUCCAGAGCCUGUGCGUGGGAGCCCUCUGGGCUAGAAGGCUGACGGAGGGCGUGGGGUCGUCGCACCAUCUUCCUGUCCCUGACACUUGUGUCUGCUUGCUCUUGGGCAGAGGAGCGCUCACAUCUUUUCUGCACCCCAAGUAGGCCAGAGCAACAGGGUUCAUGUCUCACCUCCGAACCACUGCACGGAGCUGCUGGCGCCGCCACGAGGAGAAAGGUGUGGAGGGCACCCUAGAGAGAGUGCCUAGAUUACUCGAACUGAAUGGAGACUGUAGAGUAUGGACUGUGCCGCGGGGCCAGGCCCUGCAGGCUGCUGCUGGAAGAGGGACUGACCGGUAGAGAAGCGGAGAACACGGGAGAAGAGGCUCUUCCAGGAGGGAGGGGCUUCCACUGUGGGCAGGAGACCCACGGGGGAUCGCAUCCUUCCCUGAGGCAGGCCGGCCUCUGUUGGAUGCCCCAGCCGCUCCCAGCCCUGUGCCUGCCAGAACCUUCCGCUUCCUCACGCUCACUACGCACACGCGCAGCUUCCUGUCUUCACCUGUUUCAUUCCAGCAUCCCUGCCUCCUGCCACAGAAAACCCCAGCCAUGAUUGGAGGUUCUGACCACAGUACCUGCCCCCAGUACUCUUUCAGCUCAGACUUUCUAGAACGUUCCCUUUUCUUUAAAAUCUGCAUGUUUAAUUAAACUUUAUGAUUUUAUUUUUUGUCUGAAAAAAAGAGAAGUUUAAGAAAAUGGAAAUGGGUAACAGCAAGUGAAGACCUAUUUUAGCACUGAAUAGAGUAUUUUUAAAAUUAAACUAUUUGAAAUAUUUCUUGUU